rnacentral:lncRNA from 1 species
GCCGAGCCGAGCCGGCGGGAGGCGCUGCAGCGCGCCCUGUGCCGCCUCGUGCAGCUCUGUGAGGGGAAAGGCGGGAGCGUGUGUGAGGGAGGGGGAGAGAGAGGAGAGAGUGGGAGUCGGCGUUUGCUCUCACACAGUAUAGCCACGUGUAAAAUUUAACGUGUAAUUUUAACGUGUAAAAUUUAGUUUUUAAUGAGAAAAACGCUCUGCCAGCCACUGUAUAGAGGCAUUUAAAAGGAUGCUUGCAGAACCACCUGCUCCACCAGCCAGGAUUCUGAGCAUUGCAGGACCCAGAAUUUAACCUUACCACAGCUUUGCUUGUGGAAUUGUUAUACAUCGUUUGACCUACGAAGAACUGGUGGUGGUGAAGAGGAGAUAAACCAUUUCAGGCUGGCGAUGAUGAACUGGAGGAAUGAGAUUUUGAGAAGCCCCUGUCAGAAGGUAUGAUUUUGAGACCUGGGUACUGAGUGGGGAGUCCCAAAUGGAACCAUUAUGUUGAUUGCCUAAGGGGAAGGGUCUUUGGAAGUUGAUGCAAUUUACACUUUGAAUCUCGAGGCAAUAGACUGAGAGUUGUAUUUUGAAUCUCGUAAGAAAUACAGAGGUAUUGGUUCUCAGUUGUCUUCCCAAACUAACUUUUUUUUUUUUAUGCCGAUUUACUUGGUUUUUAUGUAGAAGUUGUCUUCGGAACAGCACAGUAACUUAGCUGGUAGUCUGUAAAUACCAAACACUCACUACUUGCAUUGCAUGCUUGGGUUUGCUUUGUUAAGGAUGUUUUACAUGAGAAAGUCGCUGCACAUGGAUGCCUAAUGCAUGGGGAGUUGUUAGAUGGAACAGGAAGCCCAGGUUGUAUUCUCAAUUUGACCAGAUCCUCAGAGAGGCAGUCUUUGAAUGGCUCAGGUUGCUUUGGUUCCAGACAGUCUAGAGUAAGCUAAGAUGGGCACGGUGAAGAAAUGAGGGGAACAAAAGGGAGAUUAAGUAGCAAAGGUUGGCUUCAAAGGCUUCUUUAAAUCAGAUUAACAACAAGAAGUUCUGCAGUUUAGCAUCAGCUCCUUAGACUUUGUCAUGGAAUGCCAUGCAACAGAUGGACUAAAAAACACGAGUGCUGUGAGGAGAGUGAGCAAAAAGAGGAAAAGAGUGCCAUUUCCCCUUUUCAGAAUAACUCUCACUGCUUACUUUUCAUAGCAUCAUAUACCUCUCUGCUAGCAGUUGCUGUAGUUUUUGUGAAAAGUCAGGUAUUUUUAAACAGGGGUUGUUUGCUUCUGAAGGAGGAAGCUGGCAAAUUGCUAGCCCAUAUCUGGAUUGCAGAGGAAACUGUGCUGUCUCCAAGGCUGAGUCCUUGCUGCUGGGGUGAGCAUUCUCAUGGGACAAUUCCUAAUAAAAAAAAAAAAUGGAGUGAAUUUUAAAAACUAAAUAGAAGAAUAAUCAACAAGUACUGAAUGAAUUAAUUGCUUGUUAGAUCGGACUCCGUUAAUUAAAAUUCCAGUGGAAGCUCAGAAAAAAAUGACAGCUACUAACUGAAAUUUGCAGGUGUGCCAUGAAAUGCCCAACAUGAUAUAUUCCUGUGGAAUACACAAACAGGAAAUGAUUGGUAUGGCUGAAUUAGCUGGCACGAGUACUGUUAUAACACUGUAUUUUCUAUCUUAAUAUCACAAUCAGUGUGGAAUAGUGACUGGCUUUCUUAAAUAAUAUCCUUAGACUAUUCUGAAAGAUAGCAGCAGCCCCAAAACCUUUCUUUGCUUCCCCAUAUUUGUAGACCGAAAUACAUAGGUUGCUCUGAAAGUAAUGCCUCCUAUUUAUUUCCAUGGAAACAGCAACAGAUACAACAUGCACAAUCACACUGUUUAUAGAGCAAAUUUUCAGCUACAAAGCAUGGUUUUUUAACAUAGUCACCACUAUUAGCUGUGUGUUUUCACACGAGCCUGCAUGCCAUGCUUGUAAAAAUCCACACCCAGAGUCACUGUCACUAGUGCUGAAAUGCACCACCCACCCCUCACUGUGCCCACAGUUGCUGUUUGGUCUCCAGACUCAGCAAGCAUUGGUGGAUGUCUGUGGGUGCAUUUUGUUUCUGCGUGGAGGAGUUCAGUUACACACCUUUGCUUCAUGCACACCUCCAUGUCAGAUGCCUUCCUGUCACACUGCCCCUUUGCUGCCAUCUGUCUCACAGCAAUAGGGUGUAAUAGAAUAUUGGUGGGAAGGUUCAACCUCUACUGCUGUACCACCAACACCCACACCUGACAUCGUGGGCCAAUGUAAUGAAAUAGGAGGCGUUACUUUCGGAGCAGCCCUCAUACUUUUAGGUCAGUGCCUCCAAGUAAGGGCGGCAGCAGCUGAUCUGCAGCAAAGGGAGCAGUGCACAGUGUACCCAAAUGGUACGCACAUGUUCAGAGAGAAAGAGGAUUUCUAGUGCUGCUGAGAUACCAGCCAAAGUGCUUCAGCAGGAACCAAACAGCUGCAAGACAUUUAGGGACAGCUCAGGAAUCCCCAUGAGCUGAAGUGAGACAGGAAGCAGCGAGAAGCUGAAUAAAGUAGCUGAGGGAGAUGCCUUUAUUUAAAGGGAGGAAUUCAGAAGAAGUUCAACA